GAUGAACGCUGGCGGCGUGCCUAAUACAUGCAAGUCGAACGAAACUUCUUUAUCACCGAGUGCUUGCACUCACCGAUAAAGAGUUGAGUGGCGAACGGGUGAGUAACACGUGGGCAACCUGCCCAAAAGAGGGGGAUAACACUUGGAAACAGGUGCUAAUACCGCAUAACCAUAGUUACCGCAUGGUAACUAUGUAAAAGGUGGCUAUACUACCGCUUUUGGAUGGGCCCGCGGCGCAUUAGCUAGUUGGUAGGGUAAAGGCUUACCAAGGCAAUGAUGCGUAGCCGAAUUGAGAGGUUGAUCGGCCACAUUGGGACUGAGACACGGCCCAAACUCCUACGGGAGGCAGCAGUAGGGAAUCUUCCACAAUGGGCGAAAGCCUGAUAGAGCAACGCCGCGUGGGUGAAGAAGGUCUUCGGAUCGUAAAACCCUGUUGUUAGAGAAGAAAGUGCGUGAGAGUAACUGUUCACGUUUCGACGGUAUCUAACCAGAAAGCCACGGCUAACUACGUG
rnacentral:rRNA from 1 species